UGCGGUGGUGUAGUGGUUAGAGCGUCCGCUUCGGAUGCGGAGGGUCUCGGAUCUGAACCCAAGCCGAGUAA